GACGAACGCUGGCGGCGUGCUUAACACAUGCAAGUCGAACGGAAAGGCCCUGCUUUUUUGUGGUGCUCGAGUGGCGAACGGGUGAGUAACACGUGAGUAACCUGCCCUUGACUUUGGGAUAACUUCAGGAAACUGGGGCUAAUACCGGAUAGGAGCUCCUGCUUCAUGGUGGGGGUUGGAAAGUUUCGGCGGUUGGGGAUGGACUCGCGGCUUAUCAGCUGGUUGGUGGGGUAGUGGCUUACCAAGGCUUUGACGGGUAGCCGGCCUGAGAGGGUGACCGGCCACAUUGGGACUGAGAUACGGCCCAGACUCCUACGGGAGGCAGCAGUGGGGAAUAUUGCACAAUGGGCGGAAGCCUGAUGCAGCAACGCCGCGUGCGGGAUGACGGCCUUCGGGUUGUAAACCGCUUUCGCCUGUGACGAAGCGUGAGUGACGGUAAUGGGUAAAGAAGCAACGGCUAACUACGUG
rnacentral:rRNA from 1 species